CUGAGUGGAAGCUUUUUAACGAUGUGAUCCCAUUUGUCAAUUUUUGCUUUGGUUGCCUGUACUUAUGGGUAUUACUCAAGAAAUUGUUGCCCAGACAAACGUCCUGGAGAGUUUCCCAGAUGUUUUCUUGUAGUCGUUUCAUGGUUUGAGGUCUUAGAUUUAAGUUUUUAAUCCAUUUGGUUUUGAUUUUUGUAUAUGGUGAGAUAGGGGUUUAGUUUCAUUCUUCUGCAUACGGAUAUCCAGUUUCCCAGCACCAUUUAUUGAAGAUAUUUUUCUAUAAAUGGGCUUUUAAAAAAUGAAGAAUAUUGAAGAAAGAUGCGUUGUUUCAGCUAAAGCCAGCCUUAGCGCCAUGACUGUCCCCCGAACACUGUUUCAGGAAGGACCUCAAAGGUGUCCAUGUGCUCAACAAGGGGUGCGGCAUAUGCGUCUCUGGUCCUCCCGGGGCCAGCCUGCUGCCAUGGUUGGAGGUGAGGACCAGAUGUGGUGCUGAAAGGAGAAGACAGGGUGGGAGAAGGAUGGUGGUAUCAUUAAUUCAGUAUGUAUGCAUGCGUGUGUUUAUUAUUUAUCCAGUUUUUAAAUAGUGUUAGAAUACACAUAAUUCAAUAUAUAUUUAUUGAUCAACUGAUACAUGCCAGGCCUGUGUUUGUGCUGGCAACAGAACAAUCAUGAAGGCAGAAGAGAAGCAAAGAAAGACAGCAGACAAGGAAACACCUGGCUCCUCCAACCCCUCAUACGUUCACAUGUGUAUAGGUUGGUGGGGGAAAAACUGACCCAAACUGAAAACUAGACAAACUAUUUAUUACACAAGAUACACGAACAGAAUACAUAAAUAUGACAACAAAAAGUAAAGGGGAUUAUGAGUAAAAGAAUAUAGGAACUAAUCUAACCUAGGGGGUCGGAGGAGGUAGCCAGUAGGUAUAGUCUUGCUUAGCGUAAAACAAACAAACAACCUCCCCCCUCUAAAAAAAAAAAUACCAAAAACAUCGCUUUGGUUUGAUAAGCAGCACAGUUCAGGUAUCAAAUAUUCCUAGUUAAGUGUGUGGUCCUAGGCCUUUAAAAGACAUAGAACCUGGCCAGGCACUGUGGCUCACGCCUGUAAUCCCAGGUCUUAGGGAGGCAGAGGUGGGAGGAUAGCUUGAGCCCAGGAGAUCAAGACCUGCCUGGGCAGUAUAGCGAGACCCCAUUCGCCACAAAAAGGAAAAACAAAAAGACAAAAAAAAGAAAAAAAAGAAGACAGAAUUCUAUGGCAGAUGGUGGCUAUUUUCAUGAUGAAGUAGAAUAGUAGAACAAACCAAGGUUGACAGGAUAUCAAAAAUCCUGAUUGGCUUUAGUUACCGAGUGACUUCUGGGAAAAAUGUGGUUUUAAGAAAAGGUGAGAUUGGUGAGUAGGUAAAGAACUGGGAGAGAACUCCCAAUCUAGGAGAUAGUUUGGAAGGAGUAAAAAGCAAACAAGAGGUAAACAGAAUGAUGUGAUGGGUGGAAACCACAGGAGCCCAUUGGAAAGGCCGGGCCUUAAGGGCACAGACAAUGAAAUCAGCUAGAAGGGCAGGAAGUGCACCCUGGGGUGGCCCUCCCCACACAGGAACCUGACCUGGACAGGAAGUGAAGGGCAUCAUCUGAGGAGCAGGAAGGGAGACAUAAGGGAAGCUUGCAUUUCUUCUGUAUUUGAAAGUCAUGAUACUGAAGAAAUUCAAAAAUCUUCAGGAGAUUCCAUGUCCACAUAAAAAAUGCAAACUUAUCUUUACCGUAAUAUGUUCACUUCUCAUAACUCCUUGAUUGGAACCCUUCACUUCAUCCAGGCUGAGAGUUCUGUCAUGAAGGAGCCAGUGUCUCCAGGAGGAGUAUGAGAAUGGUGUAAAGUGUAAAUCCUGGAGAGGCUGUGGCAAGGGUCCAUGCCUGAAUGUGUACAGCAAGAACAGCUGGAGGCUGUGGCUUUCUCCAGGAAGAGGCUUUCAUUUGGUCUCUUUUUGAACCAGAAGACCCAGAAAACUUGGAUCCACUUCUGGCUUUGAUCCUUCCUGGCAGCAUGAUUUGGAGUAAGCCAUAACUUUUCUCUGUGCCAUCUUCCUGUUUAGGAAGGGGCUACUAAUAGUACCAGUUUCACAAGGUUAUCUGAAUAAGACAAGAGCACCGACACGAAGUGCCGGAAGCCAUGCUUGCUGGGAUUGGGAAUAUCGUAUUUAUGGUUUGAGUGCAUGAUGAUGUGACCACUCCUCUACUGCACAUGCUAAUUCUUUGAACAUUACUAAAGGACCCUCUGAACUUGUCGGCCUACUGUUCUUUGUACAGGUCUAAUCUCUUCGCAGGUAUUCCUUUGUAGUCUGGCAGCUCUCCUCCUGCACUCCGUGGGCAAGCUGAACGCCUUGCUGGGAUCUACGAGGCCUGCGUGUGAAUCCUGCUUCAGCUGGCUUCAUCUCCUACUAGGAAUUGCUUCUCUCCCUUUGGUUGCGAAUGGUGGGACUGUUUUGCCCUGACUUCCCCCAGCCACGUGGAAACGGUCCUAAAUUCUACAUUGGGAUUGGUACUUUCCUGUUUGGAAGCUCCUUUCUUCAGCUCUCUAACCACCAAGGACUUACAUAAAAAGAUUGAGUGGAUGUGUUAAAAGGACAGGGUCUCACUUCAUGGCUCAAGCUGGAGUGCAGUGUCUCGGUCACUGC